rnacentral:rRNA from 1 species
CACGGAGGGUGCAAGCGUUAUCCGGAUUCACUGGGUUUAAAGGGUGCGUAGGCGGGCAGGUAAGUCCGUGGUGAAAUCUCUGAGCUUAACUCAGAAACUGCCAUGGAUACUAUUUGUCUUGAAUGUUGUUGGAGGUAAGCGGAAUAUGUCAUGUAGCGGUGAAAUGCUUAGAUAUGACAUAGAACACCAAUUGCGAAGGCAGCUUACUACACAAAUAUUACGCUGAGGCACGAAAGCGUGGGGAUCAAACAGG